rnacentral:lncRNA from 1 species
GGAAAGGGUGCUAAGUGCACAACAACUUUUUUUUAAUAGCAAAUUCUCCAAUUACAACCAACCUACUUAAAUAAAAUAUAAAUUCAAGGUGAAGCUUAAGACACAAAAAUAUAGUACAAUAAAUUUAUUAACUGAAAAUUUAAAUAGCACUCCUUGACACACACAUGUCAUUUUCAUUCAGAAUGCCCACCUCUAUGAGAGAAAUUGUCCCUGAAUAAACAAACAGAAACUUCAUCCCUGUCAUAAUGUUCACAAUAAAACAGAGUAACAUGUACACAAUAAAACAGAGUAACAUGUACACAAUAAAUUGGAUGAAAAAAGAGCAAAUAAGAGUAGCUAAUGAUUUUAAAAUACAAAAAUAAGUAAACUCUGUAACUGCAUGUUUAUUAUAUCCCUCUUCAUUAUCUUUCUAAGACAGAAAUGCAACUAGAAAAAUAGACGAAUGUGAUGAGUCACUUUAACAAAGGUAGUUGUUAACAGCUUGUAAAAACACAUGAACUAUGUAUUCAUAUUUCAUAAUUAAUACAAUAAGAAGCAUAAUCCUGAGCAGAUUGCUAGAUUAGACUAUAAAUAUUGAAAUUCCAUAUAAACUGUAUUUACAUAUUUAUCAUUGCGUGGUCAAGUACUUGCAGGUUAAGAAAUGCCAAAACCAAGUUUGCACAUAUAACUUUAAUUGCUGUCUCUCUGUGCUUCACACGUCUCAAGGUCUCAUGGAAAAAUUAAUACGUUAUAUACCUGAAAUGUCUUCAUUUUACAAGGUGGGAAUCCCUAAACUGGUAGUUAUUAAUAAUGUCAUUCUUUUCAAAUUAUCUGUAUACAUUACGCAACUUUCAAAUUGUGCUUUGGAAAUGAGUUAUUAUUUCCUUAUGGCUUUUUCCUCUUUCUUUACAAUGCAGGUCAUCACUGUGAAUCUAAACAAUACUGUUCAGAUACAACAAUUCAAAUUGGCAGCACAGACAACUGGCCCAUACUCUGGUAACUUUUUGCUGCCUUUUACACAGAGAAAUCAGAAGAGAGGUCAUGUACCUCUGCGUUGUUUUCAGUGCUAUUUGAUGAGGGCAGAUGCACACAUUGAAUCUAAGAAUUAUGGAUUAAUUCCAGGCUGUCAGAGGAGUUUAGCAAUUGUAUUUUUGUUUUCUCCUCCUGAUCAAGUUCUCUUUGUCUUCUUUAAUGUGCAGCUGCCCAGCAGACUUGUAUUCCAGUCAGCCUGCAUCUGCAAGCUCUCCACUCGUUAGUGGUUGAACAAGGAAAAUCUCAAAGAUUGCCCACAGUCUUCGUUUUAGCACCACAGUAACUUUCAGUACCAUAACAGAAAUGGCAGAUCUUCUGCUGAGCUCAGGAGUCCUCAGACUUGGCUGCCUCUUGGUUAGCCAGCAGGGAGGCAGAGCUGUAGCAGCAACUCUGACUGCACUACCUACGAGAUGCAGCAGAGUUAAGAGUUUAAUUAACAUAUAGGAGCUAUAUGGCAAUAGAGAACUCUACAUAUAGAUACAAUCUUUCUAAAAACUAUAAGCCAUACAAGAUUUGUAUGUAAACCAAAUAAAACUGGAUAGUUUAUAGGUAAGAGAAAUCCA